GUGGGGGAUAUUGCACAAUGGGGGGAACCCUGAUGCAGCGACGCCGCGUGAAGGAAGAAGUAUUUCGGUAUGUAAACUUCUAUCAGCAGGGAAGAAACUGACGGUACCUGACUAAGAAGCCCCGGCUAACUACGUGCCAGCAGCCGCGGUAAUACGUAGGGGGCAAGCGUUAUCCGGAUUUACUGGGUGUAAAGGGAGCGUAGGCGGCAGUGCAAGUCAGAAGUGAAAGCCCGGGGCUCAACUCCGGGACUGCUUUUGAAACUGUACAGCUUGAUUGCAGGAGAGGCAAGUGGAAUUCCUAGUGUAGCGGUGAAAUGCGUAGAUAUUAGGAGGAACACCAGUGGCGAAGGCGGCUUACUGGACUGUAACUGACGUUGAGGCUCGAAAGCGUGGGGAGCAAACAGGA
rnacentral:rRNA from 1 species